AAGAGGAAAUUGUUACAUGUUGUAUAACCAAAUUAACAUCGAUUGCUUUUUUAUUUUUAUUAGUUUUAAAAGGUCUUAUUAAUGUAGUAAUUUCAGCCAGCACCAAAAUAAUUUAGAAUAAUUGAGUUGCACGAGGAAUUCAUUGGGUAAAUUUUACAAAUACUUGGUCGAUUUUUGAAAACGUUACGCUAAAUUUAAUGUUAAAUUACAUAUUAGAGUUAAAUAUAAUGCUAAAAGUAGAAUUUUAGAGAAAAGCCGUGAAAAAUGUACUUUUUAUUUUUACUUUAUCAUAAAAAAAAACUGCAACAUUUGGCAACAUCCAAAGUUAUGUUGCAAUUGUGCAAUAGUUUAAAAGAAGGAAAAGAAGAAACAACUUUUAAGAUGAGAAGUUCAAAGCAAGUGCAAGUGCUUCAUUUGUGAGAAAAGAUAGAUUUUCUACAAGAAGGGGUGUUACUUGUAAAGUGAACUGUUGUCUUUAACGUCUUCUUAGUAACUGAUAUAAAAGGAAGCGAUCUGACAUAUUUGUACAUGCCUUCCAUCAGUUUAGUGUUAUCGUUUUAAAGUUUACAACUUUAUAUUGAGAAGUAAUAUUUAAGUGCAGUGCAGUGAAGUGUUAUUAGUGCUACACAACAUCACGAUUAUUAGAAAAUCCAGAAAGGGUGAGUUUUUUAUAUUAGAUCUUUCAUCGCAAUAAUACCAGAAUGUGUUUCAACUUUUCUCUGUUUGAGGAAUAUUUUAUAAUUGACUUGUAGAUCAAAAUUUAGAUAUAAAAGUCAGAUAUUGAUCAUUUUUUUAAACAGUAAGUAUCGGAUGUUUCUAGAAAUAACAGAGAGUGAAUAGGAUCAUACAUACAAUCGACUUUAAAGUUACUGAAAAUUGAAAUAUUUAACCUUUGCUUCUGUAUGGUGUUCUUAGGUAUUUUGUUACAAAAUUUUUUGCAUGAGAAUUUUACUUUAGGUACGUACUAGUACGGCUCUCCGUUGAGGUCAGAUUUUAUCAGAAAAGAACGUAUAACGGGAAAAUGUUGUUUUGUAACUUUGUUCAGUGUAUGUGUAAAAAUACAUAUGUAGAUAUACUGGUAGGUUCCUGAAAAAUGUCUUUACCCAAGAAUGUGCGGGCUGAUUUUCUUAAUAAGACUGGUGAAUGCCAAGCCUUUAAUCACGAAGUGUUUAAAUAAAUAGCUGUUUUAUCAUAGUUUCCAUAUAUAAUAAAAUUAACUAUUAGGUUUAACAUUUAACUACAGGAAAUGCAAAGUAUACGAUUACUUCUUCUACUUUGAUAAAAUUGUUUAGGGACUGCCCUAAACUUUAUUUUUAAAAUCUUUUAAUUUGUUCGGUGC